rnacentral:misc_RNA from 1 species
GAGGGUCGCGAGACCUCCCUAAUACCUUUCAACCAACCCGCGUACCUACCCGAGGGGGCCCCAGCGGCCACAAAACAUGAUGCCUCGGUCGGCGGCCCCAGGGGGGGCCUCUGCCCGCGCGCCUUCCGGGGCGCGGGGGUGCCGGCCGGCGGCCCAAAACAAAACCUGAAUGUUAUAAUAACCAAUUACUUUGCAAACCAAAACCAUUA